rnacentral:rRNA from 1 species
CCUACGGGUGGCUGCAGUGAGGAAUAUUGGUCAAUGGUCGGGAGACUGAACCAGCCAAGCCGCGUGAGGGAGGAAGGUACAGAGUAUCGUAAACCUCUUUUGUCAGGGAACAAAGACUGGGACGCGUCCCCGGAUGAGUGUACCUGAAGAAAAAGCAUCGGCUAACUCCUUGCCAGCAGCCGCGGUAAUACGGAGGAUGCGAGCGUUAUCCGGAUUUAUUGGGUUGAAAGGGUGCGCAGGCGGCCUGUUAAGUCAGCGGUCAAAGCCCGGGGUUCAACCCCGGCCCGCCGUUUAAGCUGGCAGUCGCGAGUUGGAGAGAAGUAUGCGGAAUGCGCGGUGUAGCGGUGAAAUGCAUAGAUAUCGCGCAGAACUCCGAUUGCGAAGGCAGCAUGCCGGCUCCACACUGACGCUGAGGCACGAAAGCGUGGGUAUCGAACAGGAUUAGAUACCCCAGUAGUC